UUUAAGAAAACAUAAUUUAUAAUGUAUAUAGUUUCGACCUAUAAAAAGAUUUAUUUUAAUCUCUUAAAA
rnacentral:tRNA from 1 species